rnacentral:lncRNA from 1 species
AGGGAGGGAGGGAGGGAGGGAGAGCGGUGAGAGAGAGGGCUAACGAAGCGAUGAAAUGAAAGUAAUGGAAAGUUAUAUACGUACAGAGUAUGUAUGUAUAUGUACAACAAACACACACCGCCACACAAACUCAGCUGAAUUGAGAGAGUGGUAACAGACCGAAGGAUCUUGUGGGCGGGAAACUAAAAAGAAAGAACUUGUGUAGCCAUUACUUGAUGAGCUGGCCGGUGUUGUGUAAAGGAUAU